rnacentral:rRNA from 1 species
GACGAACGCUGGCGGCGUGCUUAACACAUGCAAGUGGAGCGACGAACCGGGCUUCGGCCCGGGGCAAAGCCGCGAACGGGUGAGUAACACGUGGGUAACCUGCCCCGAUGACCGGGACAACCCGAGGAAACUCGGGCUAAUACCGGAUGUUCUCCCACCCCUCAAGGGGUGUGAGCAAAGAUAGCUUCGGCCUUCGCAUCGGGAUGGGCCCGCGGCCCAUUAGCUUGUUGGUGAGGUAACGGCUCACCAAGGCUUCGAUGGGUAGCUGGUCUGAGAG